rnacentral:rRNA from 1 species
UACGUAGGGACCAAGCGUUGUUCGGAUUUACUGGGCGUAAAGGGCGCGUAGGCGGCAAUUCAAGUCAUCUGUGAAAUCUCCGGGCUUAACUCGGAACGGUCAGAUGAUACUGCUUUGCUAGAGUGCGGAAGGGGCAAUCGGAAUUCUUGGUGUAGCGGUGAAAUGCGUAGAUAUCAAGAGGAACACCUGAGGUGAAGACGGGUUGCUGGGCCGACACUGAGACACGAAAGCCAGGGGAGCAAACGGG